GACGAACGCUGGCGGCGUGCCUAACACAUGCAAGUCGAACGAGAAUCUUUGGAAUGAUUCUUUCGGGAUGAAUUCCAAAGAGGAAAGUGGCGGACGGGCGAGUAACGCGUGAGUAACCUGCCCAUAAGAGGGGGAUAAUCCAUGGAAACGUGGACUAAUACCGCAUAUUGUAGUUAAGUUGCAUGACUUGAUUAUGAAAGAUUUAUCGCUUAUGGAUGGACUCGCGUCAGAUUAGAUAGUUGGUGAGGUAACGGCUCACCAAGUCAACGAUCUGUAGCCGAACUGAGAGGUUGAUCGGCCGCAUUGGGACUGAGACACGGCCCAGACUCCUACGGGAGGCAGCAGUGGGGAAUAUUGCGCAAUGGGGGCAACCCUGACGCAGCAACGCCGCGUGCAGGAAGAAGGUCUUCGGAUUGUAAACUGUUGUCGCAAGGGAAGAAGACAGUGACGGUACCUGGAGA
rnacentral:rRNA from 1 species